rnacentral:lncRNA from 1 species
AAAUCUUAGCGUUUUCCAGAGUGAGGUACUUUUCGUCUAGCAAAAGAACCUAACAGGAGGUAAAAUAAUUUUUGACAAAUUCUCUGGAGCUGCGAGCUCAAAAUCGCCUGAGCCGAAUGUACAGGGGGUGAGUGAAAAUGUGAUAAAAGUGCCCAAAGAGCCUGUAGGUCCAAGUGCAAGUAAAAGCUCAAACUACCCAAACCCCGAGUACUUCUGUUAUGACAAAAACAGCUACUUUGAGGCAGAGGUGGAGAUCUUGAAGUACCGAUGCCCGCAGCCUUCGGUUUUCAACUACUACGAACACUCUAAUCCGAAAUAAACCAUCAAAGAGCUCAAACAUAAA